rnacentral:rRNA from 1 species
UACGUAGGGGGCUAGCGUUGUCCGGAUUUAUUGGGCGUAAAGAGCGUGUAGGCGGCCAGGUAGGUCUGCUGUGAAAACUCGAGGCUCAACCUCGAGACGUCGGCGGAAACCAUCUGGCUAGAGUCCGGAAGAGGAGAGUGGAAUUCCUGGUGUAGCGGUGAAAUGCGCAGAUAUCAGGAAGAACACCCGUGGCGAAGGCGGCUCUCUGGGACGGUACUGACGCUGAGGUGCGAAAGCGUGGGGAGCAAACAGG